UCCUCUGUGGCGCAGAUGGUUAGCGCAGUGCCCUACUGCGGCGCGGGUCGCGGGUUCAAGUCCCGCCAGAGGGA
rnacentral:tRNA from 1 species